GCAAGUCGAGCGGUUCUUAGGAAGCUUGCUUCCUAAGAAUAGCGGCGGACGGGUGAGUAACACGUGGGCAACCUACCUAUAAGACUGGGAUAACUUCGGGAAACCGGAGCUAAUACCGGAUAAUAUAAGAGAUUACAUGAUCUUUUAUUGAAAGAUGGCUUCGGCUAUCACUUAUAGAUGGGCCCGCGGCGCAUUAGCUAGUUGGUGAGGUAACGGCUCACCAAGGCGACGAUGCGUAGCCGACCUGAGAGGGUGAUCGGCCACACUGGGACUGAGACACGGCCCAGACUCCUACGGGAGGCAGCAGUAGGGAAUCUUCCGCAAUGGACGAAAGUCUGACGGAGCAACGCCGCGUGAGUGAUGAAGGCCUUCGGGUCGUAAAACUCUGUUGUUAGGGAAGAACAAGUACCGUUCGAAUAGGGCGGUACCUUGACGGUACCUAACCAGAAAGCCACGGCUAACUACGUGCCAGCAGCCGCGGUAAUACGUAGGUGGCAAGCGUUGUCCGGAAUUAUUGGGCGUAAAGCGCGCGCAGGUGGUCCUUUAAGUCUGAUGUGAAAGCCCACGGCUCAACCGUGGAGGGUCAUUGGAAACUGGGGGACUUGAGUACAGAAGAGGAAAGUGGAAUUCCACGUGUAGCGGUGAAAUGCGUAGAGAUGUGGAGGAACACCAGUGGCGAAGGCGACUUUCUGGUCUGUAACUGACACUGAGGCGCGAAAGCGUGGGGAGCGAACAGGAUUAGAUACCCUGGUAGUCCACGCCGUAAACGAUGAGUGCUAAGUGUUAG
rnacentral:rRNA from 1 species